GGGCCCACCGAGGUAAUGAAGAUGACCUCAUCUUGAGAUCUUUAAAUUUGUUACACCUGAAAAGAUCCCUCUUCAAAGUAAGAUCACGUUCACAGGACAUGGGAGAUAAGAUAUAGACAUCUCACAUUUGCAGGGGAGGGAAGGGGGCGCUACGUAACCUACCACAAUGGAAAAGCCGCCACACUCGGCACUCCGUCUCCUGUCUCUGAGCUGUGACCGACAAGGAGAGCACCACAGGCCUGGCCAGGCCAAGGAUUUACCUACCACUCUUCUCUGAAUCAGAGGUCUUCUGCAUGGCUGGCAUUCACCAAAGACAAGGCAGCAGCUGGAGAUCAGGACUAGUUCCAAGAAUUAGAAAAAAAACACAAACAGAAAGACAGAAAACCCCAAAAACUUCAAGCCAUGUGGGUGAGUACAAUUUGCAGAAAAACAUUUCCAAAAUAAUGUAGCCAAUACAGGUC
rnacentral:lncRNA from 1 species